AAGUCGUAACAAGGUUUCCGUAGGUGAACCUGCGGAAGGAUCAUUAACACUUUUUCAUUUUAUUGAAAAUUUAUUUUUCAAUAAUUUACUUACCCACAUUUUUGGAUGAAUUAUUUCUUUUUUAUUCUUUUUUAAAUUUUAUACCCAAAUACUAUAUUAUUUCUAACAUUUAUACACAAAAAGUUUAAGAAAAACAUAAAAAACAACUCUUAACAACGGAUAUCUAGGCUCUC
rnacentral:misc_RNA from 1 species